rnacentral:rRNA from 1 species
UACGGUGGGAGCUAGUGUUAUUGUGAUGACUGGGCGUAGGGUAUGUAGGUGGUGAAAGUCGGUGUAAAUUAAAUCCUGGGUUGCAACCCUUGUUCGUUUACUUUCCAUAUUUCACUAGAAAUCUGAGAGGGGCACUGGUAUAUUCAUGGAGGAGUUAAAUAUGAGAUAUGAAUAGGACCGACGGUGGUGAAAGCAAGUUCCUAGUCCAGUAUUGAGCUAAGGUACGAAGGCAGGGGAGCAAAAGGG